UGUGCAGUCUGCUGCGGCGAUUAUACGGCGAACCGUGUCAGGAUGGAAACAUAGCAGCACUAAGCCGGGGUUAACGGGUGCGGAAUUCUGCAAGGGA
rnacentral:SRP_RNA from 1 species